UAACUAGCAGUCAAUUUUAAUGUUCUUUUCACAUUUGAUUUCUUAACUGCACAGGUAUAAUACGUCCAAGUGAAGAACAAUUAUAUUUAGGGGGAGUAUUGAAUUAGGAUUUUAAAAGACUAUUUUAAUAAAAAAAGUCUUAUAAGAUUUUUAAAGACCGUGUGAGAUUGUAUUGAUUCUGUGAGAUUUUAAAAGACUUUUUAUGUAAAAGACUUUAUACACUCAAGAUUUUAAAGGAUUUAUCACACUGACUUUUAAAAAUUUCAAAGGAUUUUAUGUUAUUUUAAAAUUUCAAAGAAUUAAAUGAAUUUUAGGGGAAAAAGAACAUACUUACAAGCGUGAAUGAUAGAAAUAAUGAACAAAUAAAUUCUAGCGUCUGAAUAAAGAAAAAUAAAACCAAUAAAAAAAUAUUUUACUAUUGAUUUUCAAAUUUUAAGAAUUUUAUAAGAUUUUAAGGGACUAAAAAACACUCUAACACAUUAUUCUCAAUACACAUUUUUUAUUUGUUAAAAAUGUUAUUCCCACAAAAUUCAAUUGUACAUAUUUAAAAUCAACACUUACAAAUCUUUCAAAAAAAAUAUAUUGUGUCAGCCAUUACAAAUCGGUUGAGUUUACCCGAGUUUACCAAGUGUUAACUCAGUCAAACUCGUUAAACCUUUCGAUUUUACCAGAAACCGAGUUUACCUCAGAGUUAACACUCGAUUUACGAAACAUUGAUUACGUCAUACUCUCUAUCAUAAUAUUCUCAAUACAAUUUUUUAUUUUUUUAUGAGAUAGAGAGAGGGAGAGAGGGGGGAUGAGAGAU
rnacentral:lncRNA from 1 species